rnacentral:lncRNA from 1 species
AGGUGAGCUUGCAGGUGCUGUAAGAAGUUCUGAGAUAAAGUGCUCGUCUCCUUCGGUGCAGCUGCCUAUUUCUAGCAGAAGAAUUGAAUUAAUUGAAUAUUUGAAGAAUUGCUUAACUGAAUAUUUAAAGCUGCUUGUCAGGAUACUUAAGAUGAGAACUGUGUCAGCCACUCCUGAUAACAGAGAGCCUUGGGCCUGGUGGAUGGGGAGAACAGCUUGGAAAGGUGGCGAAGUGCAGUGAAAAGUCACCUCUUCAAACUGCAAGUAUAAUCUGCUGCAAAGAAUUCAAAGUUUAAACUUAACACGGUGGUGCAAGCCUGCGUUUUCUCUUGUUGAUUGAAAUGGGAAUAUGAGUGGACCCUCACUUUGGAAUUCAGACAAAUCUGAACUAAUCAAAGCUACAGACGUGUAUGUUUAUAGCAAAACUCAUGCAGAAGGCUGACAGCCUGUCUCACUCCCAUCAGAGAUAUCCCACCAGCUCCUUUAGGAGUUCAGCGUUGCAUUUGGCCUGUUCUGAUCUUCCUGAUCCCCUCAUUUUUGUGCUGCAACACCACCAUCCAGCAGAAAUCAGGUAGGAUCUGAAGACAUUUGACAUUGCUAAAGAAUCAAGCCUCAGCUGUCAGUUUUAGCCAUUUGUAUUCCAGAUUUUUGUUCCGCUGGAUGAUGGUUUCAUUUUUGAUUCUGUAAUGUGUUCUUUGUGGAGGUUAUUUUAAGCAGACAAAUAGGUAGCCUGCUUCCUUCAGUGGAUUUGUGCUGGUUUUAGCUGAGGUUUGCACAUUUUAGCUAUUGCCCUGUGGUUGUUCUGGUCCUGAUGCAUCUCUAAACCUUUGUCUGCCUCGCUUCUCCUCUUUGUGAAAUAAGAUGAGUAAUUGUGCAUAAAAUUAUGGAUGUUGUGCAUAAGCUGCACAAUGGUUAUGGGGCAUUUUAAGAUUUUCAUAUACAGGGGUCCAUGUUCACUUAAUCAAUUAAGUGUAGUCCUGGCUUUAAG